UACGGAGGGUGCAAGCGUUAUCCGGAUUCACUGGGUUUAAAGGGUGCGUAGGCGGGCAGGUAAGUCCGUGGUGAAAUCUCUGAGCUUAACUCAGAAACUGCCAUGGAUACUAUUUGUCUUGAAUGUUGUGGAGGUAAGCGGAAUAUGUCAUGUAGCGGUGAAAUGCUUAGAUAUGACAUAGAACACCCAUUGCGAAGGCAGCUUACUACACAAAUAUUGACGCUGAGGCACGAAAGCGUGGGGAUCAAACAGG
rnacentral:rRNA from 1 species